CCCUUAGAUGUCCGGGGCCGCACGCGCGCUACACUGAAGGAAUCAGCGUGGCUUUCUCCCUGACCCGAAAGGGUUGGGAAACCCGUUGAAUCUCCUUCGUGAUAGGGAUUGGGGCUUGAAAUUGUUCCCCAUGAACGAGGAAUUCCCAGUAAGCGCGAGUCAUAAGCUCGCGUUGAUUACGUCCCUGCCCUUUGUACACACCGCCCGUCGCUACUACCGAUUGAACGGUUUAGUGAGGGCCUCGGAUUGGUCUCGGCCCGCUCUUUACCGGGCGGCGGCGUUGGUCGAGAAGACGCUCGAACUUGAUCGUUUAGAGGAAGUAAAAGUCGUAACA
rnacentral:rRNA from 1 species